rnacentral:rRNA from 1 species
GAUGAGCGUUGGGGGGGUGCCUCCCUUUUGGAAGUGGAAGGGGAAGGGAGAGGUGUUUGAACCUUUCAAGCGAGUGGCGAACGGGUGAGUAACACGUGGACAACCUGCCUCAAGGCUGGGGAUAACAUUUGAAAACAGAUGCUAAUACCGAAUAAAACUUAGUAUCGCAUGAUAUAAAGUUAAAAGGCCCUCCGGCGUCCCCUAGAGAUGGAUCCGCGGUGCAUUAGUUAGUUGGGGGGGUAAAGGCUUACCAAGACAAUGAUGCAUAGCCAAGUUGAGAGACUGAUCGGCCACAUUGGGACUGAGACACGGCCCAAACUCCUACGGGAGGCUGCAGUAGGGAAUCUUCCACAAUGGGCGCAAGCCUGAUGGAGCACCGCCGCGUGUGUGAUGAAGGCUUUCGGGUCGUAAAGCACUGUUGUAUGGGAAGAAAUGCUAAAAUAGGGAAUGAUUUUAGUUUGACGGUCCCAUACCAAAAAGGGACGGCUAAAUACGUG